AUUGAACGCUGGCGGCAGGCCUAACACAUGCAAGUCGAGCGGAUGAAGGGAGCUUGCUCCUGGAUUCAGCGGCGGACGGGUGAGUAAUGCCUAGGAAUCUGCCUGGUAGUGGGGGAUAACGUCCGGAAACGGGCGCUAAUACCGCAUACGUCCUGAGGGAGAAAGUGGGGGAUCUUCGGACCUCACGCUAUCAGAUGAGCCUAGGUCGGAUUAGCUAGUUGGUGGGGUAAAGGCCUACCAAGGCGACUAUCCGUAACUGGUCUGAGAGGAUGAUCAGUCACACUGGAACUGAGACACGGUCCAGACUCCUACGGGAGGCAGCAGUGGGGAAUAUUGGACAAUGGGCGAAAGCCUGAUACAGCCAUGCCGCGUGUGUGAAGAAGGUCUUCGGAUUGUAAAGCACUUUAAGUUGGGAGGAAGGGCAGUAAGUUAAUACCUUGCGGUUUUGACGUUACCAACAGAAUAAGCACCGGCUAACUUCGUG
rnacentral:rRNA from 1 species